rnacentral:tRNA from 2 species
AGGCACGUAGCUCAGGGGGAGAGCGCCACCCUGACACGGUGGAGGUCCCGGGUUCAAAUCCCGGCGUGCCUACCA